rnacentral:lncRNA from 1 species
UCUGUUUCCUGUGGUAUCCGUGCUUUCUUUCGCGGAAAGGGUUGCUGAUUUUCGUGGUUUAAGGGAUUUUAUGGUUGCCGGGCCGUUGUGCAUCUAUUUAGAUUUGGGAUUUUUUGCGUUCCGAGGGUUUCGACAUCUCUAAUUGGGGUAAAGAAUUCCUGCUGUUUCCCCUUUUUCCGUUUGGGAUUUCUGGGUUGUGGCUGGGUUUUUGGCCGAUUUACGCCUCUUUUCAAGGGUGGCGUCUUUGCAGCCCACUGUGGAACAAGUGUGAUCCAACUAAGGUAUAUUUUAUAAUCAUUUCUUUUGGUUUUUAUUUUUGGUUUUUCCUUUGUUUUGAUGAAACCUUAAUCGUUUCCUUUUAUUGUCAAUUGUGGUGCUCUCUUGGGUUUUCCCUGUUAAAGGAGAAUUUUGCGUUUUUGUUCUUCAGUUGGCAUAUCUCUGAUUUGCUGGUAUUUGCAACGUUGCUGUAAUUUUUUGGGUAUUUUUUUGUGCUUCUGCUUCGGACAUGGAUUGGUAAUUAUUGGAUUUAAAUGGAUUCGUAGUUUUUGAUGAGAGGAGUUGUUAAGGUUGUGUGAAGGUUUGUUUUUCUGGGUUUUAUGCUGCAAGGGGUUACAAACACAGAGAGGAGGAGAGGAAACAUUAGUUUAGAUUGUGAUUUAAUUUUUUUUUAUAUGUUCUUGGUGAUAGAAACUGUGUGAGUGCAGUUGUUUUAAAAUUAUUUGCGUGUGCUUUUUAUGGUUUUGCUUUUUUCCAGUUUGGAUUAAAAUGGAUUUUGAAUUUUUUAGAAGAAAUUAAAGGGGUUGUUGGAAUUUUGGAAGCCUUUGUGUUUUUGGUGAACACGCAGACAAUCUUGAAAAUUUGUGUUAAAAGAUUAAUGUUUGUGUAUAAAAAUUGCAGCCAUGUGGUAAAGAACAAUGGUUCAUUAAGCUAAAUGUCAAUGGAUUAAUCCAUGUGUUGACUGUGUUGAAAGGCAUAAAUUUUUUUGACCUGUUUGGGUUUCAUCUCAUGUGGAUUAGUGGAAAAACAAAAUGGUAUUACUCUGACAGAUUGUUGGUCGCUUACAGGUCUGAAGACUAAUAUUACGAAUCGUGAUUCUAAAUCAGCUUAUCCUUAGUUCACAAAUACCAAGAUCGUUAUUUAUCUGUGAGUACAUGUGAUUUAUGAAUUGACAUUGUCCCUGGGUUUUUUGUACUAAUUAAAUUUCUAUAAUUAGUUUGGUGUUUUCAUUUCGUUUGCUUAUUUGAUUUUCUAUUGGACCGCAUGGAUUAAGUUGCAGACAGAGAUAGUAAACUCUGUUUCAUGCUCUUUUUGGGUUUUGGCUGCUUUAGGUUUGAUUUGAAAGAAACUCAGAAGAAAAAAAAAAUGAAGGGCGGUGAUGUAGAAUGGUUCAAUUACAAUUUCAGUUUUACAUACUUAAACUUAAGAUGUGUGCGCUGCAAAGUGAGUUGGCUAAAGAAGCCCCUUGGACGCUUUUUGUUAAUAUCUCAUGGGCUUUGCUCUUUGAUUUCAGAAAUUUUGUGCCCAUCUUGGGUUCGCUUCAAACUUGGUUGAGACCGAUCUAAUCUGGCAUUACCAGGUGAGUUUUGCAUGUUUAUCAGCUUAUAUGGUUUCGAUCUUUUGUUUUUCGUUGGAUUGUUAUUGUGCGUGUCUGAUGCAUUUUGUUUUCCAGUUUCGGGAAACCGUUCCUUUCAAAUUUUUGGAUUUUCGAUUCUGAUUCUUGGAACUCUCUGUGCUAAAGGUUUAUAAAUGUAUUAUUUUUUUUUUCCUUUGUUUUCUUUGCGGCUGAAUUUUAUUUUAUUUUGGUUUUGUUUGGUGAUUUGGGACCUUUUUUGUGCAUGUUUGGGUUGUUAAUUGGUAAUGCAUAUUUUCUUGCUGAUUUUUGUGCUAGCAAUUUUAUUUAAAUCCACAGCUGCUUUUUUUUCAUAUGACUUGCUGUGAUGGUUAUGCUUGAUUCAUAAGAUUUGAGGUAGUCGUGAUAAAAUUAGAAGAGUGAUAUCUACGUUAUUUUGGAUUUGUGAGAGUGAUUUGUCAGAGCAAUGAGUAAAUUUUCAUAUGUAGUGUAGGGUCAAGUUUAAUAAUCAUUAAUGCGAUUUGGUAUAUGUCUGGUAGAAACGCUAUCAAAUUGUAGAUACACAGUUUGUUGGUGUAGCAAGGGGCUGGAAAAUUUUUUCAGUAUGUUUUUUAUGGUUUGGCUUUUUUCUGUUGGGCCUUUCCCGGCUAAAACAGUAUUUUGCAUUUUGGUUGCUCAGUUAAUAAAUUUGAGAUCUGCUGGCAACUGUGACGCUCUUCAGUUUUAUAUCCUGCUUUUUUCCAGUUUUAAAAUGCAUUGAUAAUUGUUGGAUUCAAAUAGAUUUAUAAUUUUCGCAAAGAAAUGAGAGGAUUCGUUGGAAUUUUGGAAAGCGUUGUCUUCAUGUUUUACGAACAGGGAGAGGAAGAAAGAAAACAUUAGUUUAGAUUGCAAAUUUAAAACUUUUUAUGUUGUUAGUGCUGGAACCAAUGUGUUUUGUUGCAAAAUUGAUAAUGUGUAAGGUUAUUAGAAUUUUGGAAAACUUUGUCUUUCUCACUUUUAUCUGGCAGAGGGAACACAACUCUUACGUAUAUGAUUUCAAGUUUUUCCUUUAGAAAUUCAAGCUCUAUUGGAUACAUGAGGUAUAAGAGUCUGUUUGGGAUAUUUUCAAGUUGUACUGAUUCCUGAAAAAAAAAAAACAUGCUUAGGAGUAAUUAUAUUUCAGUUUUUAUUGAAUUCAGGUAACCAUCUUCAGUUUUUUGCUUUGAUCUGAAGGCUUUGUUUUGUUCAGAUAUCAAAGUUGGGCAUGAGUUCAUAUGUUUUUCAAUGUUUUAUUCUGAUUUAAUGGUGCGAUGCUGAUUUAGGCUAUAAAUUCAGAGGCUUUUCAAUAGGCAAGUUUGCAACAUGGAAUUCAGAGGCAGUUGUAUCAUUGGAUUAAAUAUACUAGAUCUAAUCCUUAGACAUCGUUUUUCACUUUGAUUAAGAUGUGUGCCUGCCUUCUCAGUACAAAACUGGCUUACAUAUCAUUUUUUACGCAUUUUUACAUCCAAUAUUUUCAACACCCGCAGCAACGCGCGGGCACUAUUGCUAGUGUAAACUAUAAGUUCAUAUCCCGCUUCUUUGACUCAAAUUCUGUCAGUCGUAGAAGAAAUUCUGAAGGAACCUAGUAAACUCUGGUUUUGGAUUUGUUAAUUUAUUUUUGUUGCAUGCAUUUGUAGUAGAAUAGGCAGAUUGGCAGUGUAGAAUAGGCAGCAGAUUGUUAAUUUAUUUUGAUGAUCACUUCACUGCACAACCAAGAUAUGAUAUGCAGUGCAGAUUUGCUGUUCUGCACACUGCACAGGCACAGCCAAGUUAUAGCCCAACCAAAUUUUGAUCACUGCACUGCCAAGAUAUGCAGUGCAGAUUUGCUAUUCUUCACUCUGCACAGCCACAGCCAAGUUAUUAUAGUCGAAAAGCCCAAAAAUAUUUCGGGAUUCCCAUUGUCCCGAAAAUACCGAAACUAUUUCGGGAUUCCAAAAAAUUGGGAUUCCCGAAAAUUUGGUUUGUGAUUGGUCUUGAAAUUGAGAAUCCCGAAAAUUUCGGUUUAGGAAUCGGGACUAAGGUUUCUGUUCGGUAUUCCAUACUGAACCACCCCUAUUAAAUAUUUCAUUUGGUAAUAAUUUGCCUAGGAAAAAGCAAUUUUUGCCCGUAAAUUUGGAAUUUUUAAAGUAAUUAACAUCAAUGUACUUGAUACACUUGUGCAAUUGAGAAUCUUUCGUUUCUGAAUAAUUGUCAGUCUUUGUUCUGCAAUUGGAAGAAAUGGGUUUCUCAAAUAAUUAAUAAUUAUGCGGCUGAUUAUUUUUUU